CUGCACUAGUCUUAGUGGUGGCGCUGCUGUGAGUUCAGAAUCAAGGUGUGAACAGGUUUGGAUGGUGACUGUGGAUGGGCAUUGAUAUGGAUGACAAUCUUAGCCACCGACGCCCAGUGACAGAGACCAUCAGAGACUGAACCACCCUGUCUGCUGAUCAGCUACACAACUUGUGCAGCUCCUGGAAAACAUACUCCUGCUUUCUUGGACAAUGAUUCUCCCAAUGUUAUGAUGACUUCAAUAUGCCAUCACUAAAUAACUGCAAGUCUAGGUACUACAUGGCCUUUCCUCCAUGUCCAUUCAACACAAGGUGGACCACAUUCAUAUGUCCUUAGGGCCAAGGGAACUAUUUGCAUGAGGUGCGGACAGAGCUGGGACAUGUUUUCUGCUGGGUCCUGACACCUCUAUGGCAAGCCCAUGAUUGACAGAAGGUGUUCUGACUGAUCCACUGUAGGGAAUCCAAAAAUUUAAAUUGUAACCUCA